UACGUAGGGGGCAAGCGUUGUCCGGAAUCAUUGGGCGUAAAGCGCGUGUAGGCGGCUUGGUAAGUCCGCUCUGAAAGCCCGGGGCUCAACCCCGGGAGGCGGGUGGAUACUGUCAAGCUCGAGUCCGGAAGAGGCGAGCGGAAUUCCUGGUGUAGCGGUGAAAUGCGCAGAUAUCAGGAGGAACACCGAUGGCGAAGGCAGAUCUCUGGGCCGUAACUGACGCUGAGGAGCGAAAGCAUGGGGAGCGAACAGG
rnacentral:rRNA from 1 species